UACAGAGGUCUCAAGCGUUGUUCGGAUUCAUUGGGCGUAAAGGGUGCGUAGGCGGCGCGGUAAGUCGGGUGUGAAAUCUCGGAGCUUAACUCCGAAACUGCAUUCGAUACUGCCGUGCUUGAGGACUGGAGAGGAGACUGGAAUUUACGGUGUAGCGGUGAAAUGCGUAGAUAUCGUAAGGAAGACCAGUGGCGAAGGCGGGUCUCUGGACAGUUCCUGACGCUGAGGCACGAAGGUCAGGGGAGCAAAACGGGG
rnacentral:rRNA from 1 species